UACUCUUUAACCUUUAAUCUGUUAAUGUGGUUUCCUAGUGGUAGCGUUUCUAACAGCAGUAUUUCAGAAGGGCUUUGCUGCCUUUCUCCAAGAAGCAGCUAAAAUUUUCUGCUUUUGAAGAAAGGGGAAACUUGGGGUGGAGAGGCUGGCAAUGCUGUCCGUGCUGCCUGUGUUUAGGACUGCUGUUGCGCUCUUUGCUCUGUGCCAUGCAAAAGGUUGAGCACCCGAAUUAUCAUCCAAGCCAGGACCCCUUGAGAAUGACAAACGCCAAACUAAUUGUGAAGUUGGGACAAGUAUCUGUUGGGACCAGCCCAGACUUGAGGUCAAUCUGGUGGCUUUUAUAUACUUGAUACUCUAGGAAAAUUAUUUGAAGACCUGUGAACAAUUAGAUAAGAAAAUGGGAGCUAAAUCCUUGAUCCAAGGCAAAGGGACCAAAAGAAGAGUAAAUCAGAAGAGGAAUCGGCCACCUCUGUCUAGUUGGAUGGUCCACUCUGAGAUCCAGAGUUUACAUCCCACAUUUGUCUAUAUCGUAUUGAAUGAUUCGAAUGUUCACUUCAGCUCCAGUUGCAUUUUAGUUGAGGUUGAUCCUGCAAGAUGAUUUUUGGCAAAAUGAAGUAAGUGACUCCAAGCAAAAUUAGAUGUUAUGUAAAUUAAAAGCCAGGUUUUAAAGAACAGAGGCCUUCAAAAGCUGUCAUAUAGUACCCACCUUUUGACAUUUAGGUUACCAGGCCAGAGGUGGCAUAGAUUAUUAGUAAAAGAAAGCUGUGAUUACAAUGGAGACCAUUUGACAAUAAGAAAUAGCAAUAAUGAUGCUUUGAUUGAAGACUUUCCUCCCCAGGGCUCACAUAUGCAAUAAUUUCCUUUCACAAUAUACUGAGAAAGUAGGGAGGAAAGGGUAUUAUUAUAUCCGCUUUAUAGAAGGCGAAACUGAGGCAAAGAGAAAUAAUUUGAGUCUGAGGCAGUGACACAUGGGCAGGGACAGAAGUAGAAAACAGGCUUCUAGUUUCCUGAUCUCAGGGCCCCUGGUUAUAAACAGCUUGCCUUGUGUUAUCUUGCUCAACGAAGCUGUACCGCGAAGCCCCCUAACAUGGCAGGAGUUGGCUCUCCUCAUAAGCUUUCCAAGCAGAGAAGCCACACUAGGCUUGAACUUUCAGGUCCCCCUAAAGGUGAGCGAACAGGUGGAUGAUGGUCACAUAACUUCACUGUUGGUUGGAGAACGUCAAUUUCCUUGACGGUCUGAUUUCACUGUUUCUAACUUCAUUUGAGCAGGAAAGAAAGAAAAUUGGAAUUUCAGUGAGUUCCAUUUUCUUGGCUUAGAAGCCACAAGCCCCAGUUAAGUGCCGCCCUGAAUAAGUGGCUUCUCUGUGUUCAGGGAGAGACCACCCCCUGACCCAGAGAUGAGGUUUCGCAACAUGCAGAUAGAGGUUUUCCGAAGUCCUCAGCUGGAACAGCUAAAUACGACUGAGACAACACCAUCCCAUAGACAAAGGUCAGAACUAUUUUAAUCUCUGAGUGAGGCUAUUACUCUGGGACAAGGCCCUUCUUGUCUGAUUUCCUGCUAUUUUCAGUGAUUCACAAGCCUGAAUCUCUUUCAUCUGGGAGUGCAGAGCCACGGCCCCCUUUCAGAUUUGUUUGUGAGUUAAAAUAGUUCCCAUCCUCAAUCUUCCUGGAGUGUCUUCUUGCAGACAUAGAAUUCCUCAGGCUGUGAGCCUAGAGGAGUCCGUGGGAGGGAGAGUCGGGCUGACUUGGAAUGCAAACCCUGGGAGGAAGCUGGAGUGUAGCAGGAAGUGGGGUUGCUGCUGGCUUGGAUGGUCCCACGAAGACUCUGAGCCAAUAGGUCAGUUAGGAGGCUGACUUCUCCGAGAGAUGACAGUGCUCUGGAAGGCUUGCUCCCCACAGCCAUACAGAGGCUUGCCCUGUACUGUCUGCUGAAGUCUAUGCAUGGUGCCAGAGCUUCGGUCAAAGUCCCGUCGCUCUAGAAUCGAAUGGAGUUAGGAUGAAAGAUGCUCCCUUAGUUUCUUCAUGACACAGCCCUCGAGUUCCUUAAUUACUGGUCCAUUUGGAUUGAUUGCCCUCAUAUUUAUAGGUUAUUUCUCCAAACUGAAUGCUGUAUUAGAAAAGCCUGCUUACCCAGUUUUCACAUAUCCCGUGGUUUUGAAUUUGCUAGUUCUCUCCUUUUUCUUAUAACUUCUUCUACUGUGGAAAUGUCUCAAAUCACUGUUUCUUAAUUGUUUAAUACCUCAAUUUGGUGUGGACAGAGUAGAGUUUGAGAAAUUUAGCCAAAGCUAGCCUUCAGGGAAUCUGCCUAGAGUAAUAAUAAAGAUGAGUUACCAUUUAUUGACUCUAUACUCCUUGCCAGCCACUGUGUAAAUGCUUCUCAUAAAUUGUCUAAUUUAAUCUACGUAAGAGUCCUGUGAGAUCAUUUUACAGACUACAAAACAAGGUUUAGGGAAGUUAGGUAAUUUUCCCUAAGUCACACAAUCAGUUUGUGGAUAAAACUGAUAUUCCAGCUCAGAUCUUUAUGCUGCUAUACACAAUAGAGCAAUUUUGCUGAAACGUUGAAAAUAAAUGUUGGACCGUCCCCAGUGUCAUAAUCUUUGUG
ensembl:lncRNA